rnacentral:lncRNA from 1 species
CUCUGAGUCUAGUAUACUAACUGCUUCAUAGUAUUAAAUAUUGAACAGCUGAUCGUUCAAAAAAAGCCCAAAUAAAAUGCACGAUAGGAGGGCUGAGAAGUUGGAUGAGCCGGUCUCAACUUCCAUUUCUAUAUUCUUUGAUUUUUCUUACUUUUUGCCCAUGUUUUGCUAUUCUUUAUAUUUUAGCACCUCAUUAUUCUAUAUUCUUUUUUUGUCUAUUUUUCUCUAUUCUUUAUAUUUUGUCUAUUAUUCUCUAUUCUGUUAACCCCACCCACGUGACUCUCCUAUAGAUGGGCGUGGUUUUGGGGUUCUUCAGUAGUGAGCCAGCAGAAGAGGUCAAUUUCUAUUUGUAUUUCUUUGCAUUGGAAAUAUCUUCUGUCUCUCCUCUCCCUCUUCCUUUUACAUAUAUAGUCUAGACGACACAUGCAUAACAAACAUGAUGCGUUUAUAGUCUAAAUAGCAUUAAUAAAUUUAUGAAUGCAGAUAUAAUAGAA